rnacentral:rRNA from 2 species
CCCGAGUUGUAAUUUGUAGAGGAUGCUUUUGGUGAGGUGCCUUCCGAGUUCCCUGGAACGGGACGCCAUAGAGGGUGAGAGCCCCGUCUGGUUGGACACCGAUCCUCUGUAAAGCUCCUUCGACGAGUCGAGUAGUUUGGGAAUGCUGCUCUAAAUGGGAGGUAUAUGUCUUCUAAAGCUAAAUACCGGCCAGAGACCGAUAGCGCACAAGUAGAGUGAUCGAAAGAUGAAAAGAACUUUGAAAAGAGAGUUAAAAAGUACGUGAAAUUGUUGAAAGGGAAGCGCUUGUGACCAGACUUGGGCUUGGUUGAUCAUCCGGGGUUCUCCCCGGUGCACUCUUCCGGCUCAGGCCAGCAUCAGUUCGCCCUGGGGGAUAAAGGCUUCGGGAAUGUGGCUCUCUCCGGGGAGUGUUAUAGCCCGCUGCGUAAUACCCUGUGGCG